AACGGCCAUACCAUGCUGAAUAUACCGGUUCUUGUUAGAUCACCGAAGUCAAGCAUCAUUGGGCGUGGCCAGUACUUGGAUGGGUGACCACCUGGGAACACCGCGUGCCGUU
rnacentral:rRNA from 1 species